rnacentral:rRNA from 1 species
CCUGGCUCAGAACGAACGCUGGCGGCGUGGAUAAGACAUGCAAGUCGAGCGGGACAUUCAGGGUAGCAAUAUUCUGGAUGUUCAGCGGCGCAAGGGUGCGUAACACGUGGGUAAUCUGCCGUGAAGCCUGGAAUAACUCGCUGAAAGGCGAGCUAAUACCGGAUGUGAAGUUUGGAAGGCAUCUUUUGGACUUCAAAGCUGGGGACCGUAAGGCCUGGCACUUCACGAUGAGCCCGCGGCCUAUCAGCUAGUUGGUGAGGUAACGGCUCACCAAGGCUAAGACGGGUAGCUGGUCUGAGAGGACGACCAGCCACACUGGAACUGAGACACGGUCCAGACACCUACGGGUGGCAGCAGUCGAGAAUUUUUCACAAUGGGCGAAAGCCUGAUGGAGCGACGCCGCGUGGGGGAUGAAUGGCUUCGGCCCGUAAACCCCUGUCAUUUGCGAACAAGUUGUUUCACCCAACACGUGAAACAUUGAUAGUAGCGAAAGAGGAAGGGACGGCUAACUCUGUGCCAGCAGCCGCGGUAAUACAGAGGUCCCGAGCGUUGUUCGGAUUCACUGGGCGUAAGGGGUGCGUAGGCGGUCGGGUAAGUCUGACGUGAAAUCUUCAAGCUCAACUUGGAAACUGCGUC